rnacentral:rRNA from 1 species
UAGAUGCUAGUCUCUAAGAUUUAGCCAUGCAUGCUUAGUAUAUAACGGCGAACGGCUCAGUAAUGUUGCGAUGAUUUGGUCUUUUUGGGAUAGAAUAACUACGGUAAGCUGUAGCUAAAAAUAAAGAAUAAGUCGCAACCCUAUCAGUUAGUUGGUAGUGUAAAGGACUACCAAGACAAUGACGGGUGACGGGAAAUUAGGGUUUUAUUCCGGAGAGGGAGCCUGAGAGAUGGCUCCCACGUCCAAGGACGGCAGCAGGCGCGAAAAUUGCCCACUCUUUUAAGAGGAGGCAGUUAUGAGACGUAUAAAUAGGAAAUAUUAUAAAAAGAUAUAAAAGAAUUGGAGGGCAAGUUUGGUGCCAGCAGCCGCGGUAAUACCGACUCCAAGAGUGUCUAUGGUGGAUGCUGCAGUUAAAAAGUCCGUAGUUUUAUAAAUGCAAUUAAAAAACGUAGAUAAAAUACGUUUAGUUUGUUAAGUAUAGCGAAACGGGUAGAGUGCAUAGUAUAGAUAGGCGAGAGAUGAAAUUACCAAGACCCUAUCUGGACUAACGGAGGCGAAAGCGAUGUACUUAAACGAAUUUAAGGAUCAAGGACGAAGGCUGGAGGAUCGAAAGUGAUUAGAUACCGCUGUAGUUCCAGCAGUAAACGAUGCCGACAAGUAAGAUACUGUGGAGUAUUUACUGGGAGAAAUUUUAGUUUUCGGGCUCUGGGGAUAGUACGCUCGCAAGGGUGAAACUUAAAGUGAAAUUGACGGAACUACACUACCAGGAGUGGAUUGUGCGGCUUAANNNNNNNNNNCGCGAGGAAACUUACCAGGCCCUUUUGCACCUAAGAUACGAGGUGCGAAGGAGUGGUGCAUGGUCGUUGGAAAUUCAUGGGAUGACUUUGAGCUUAAAUGCUUGAAUGAGUGAGACUCCGUAGACUGGCUGCGUUAAGCAGCAGGAGGGUGGAGCUAUAACAGAUCAGUGAUGCCCUUAGAUGGCCUGGGCUGCACGCGCAAUACAGUGGGACGUAGGUAUAGAGACGUACAGGUCCCCAGAUGGAUUGCCGAUUGUAAGUUCGGCAUGAAAGCGGAAUUCCUAGUAAGCACGUAUUAUCAAUGGGUGCUGAAUGCGUCCCUGUAGCUUGUACACACCGUCCGUCAGUAUCUCAGAUGUUUUUUAGGAUGAAGAGUUUCGAUUCUGAAUAAUGAAAAGUAGAUAAGAUGUAAGUCGUAGCAAGGUUUCGGUGGGAGAACCAGCCGAAGGAUCAUUACGAGACAACUUAGCUCGUGUACGGGAUGUA